rnacentral:lncRNA from 1 species
GAAAUACUGCAGGAGCAUCAUAGACUUGUGCAGUCGAUUGAUAAUCUUCAUCAUUCUGGGCUUUCUUCCUGUGAGCCUCAUGUACAGGUCAUAGAGUAUGGCAGGAGCCUUGUGGCUAACAGUUAUCCAGUACUGGUUUAUUAAGUAGUUGGAUGUCAAGUGAGCGUUGGGUGUUCUGAAGGCCUGUUCCAGUGGGUUUCUUUUGAAUGUGGACAUGACAUACUGCUCCAUUUCUCCCCAGAAGAAAGGAUUGAUUCCACCUGUUGUACAGUUGUAUACCAACAUGUUUUUUGGUCUGUGCACAGCAGUGUACCACCCCGCUGCAAGGGUGAGGUUGAUGACAACGUCAACUGGAAUCAUAUCAGCCACCGCUUCGUUGUUAGCAAUGACGGUCCUUAGAAUUCCCUUUCCCGCCGCAACAAAUAUUCCACUUGUCCCAUUGAAGCUGUC